rnacentral:rRNA from 1 species
GACGAACGCUGGCGGCGUGCCUAAUACAUGCAAGUAGAACGCUGAAGGAGGAGCUUGCUUCUCCGGAUGAGUUGCGAACGGGUGAGUAACGCGUAGGUAACCUGCCUGGUAGCGGGGGAUAACUAUUGGAAACGAUAGCUAAUACCGCAUAAGAGUAGAUGUCGCAUGACAUUUGCUUAAAAGGUGCAACUGCACCACUACCAGAUGGACCUGCGUUGUAUUAGCUAGUUGGUGAGGUAACGGCUCACCAAGGCAACGAUACAUAGCCGACCUGAGAGGGUGAUCGGCCACACUGGGACUGAGACCCGGCCCAGACUCCUACGGGAGGCAGCAGUAGGGAAUCUUCGGCAAUGGACGGAAGUCUGACCGAGCAACGCCGCGUGAGUGAAGAAGGUUUUCGGAUCGUAAAGCUCUGUUGUAAGAGAAGAACGAGUGUGAGAGUGGAAAGUUCACACUGUGACGGUAUCUUACCAGAAAGGGACGGCUAACUACGUG